CCCUUAGAUGUUCUGGGCCGCACGCGCGCUACACUGACGGAGGCAGCGAGCAUGUCCUUCGCCGAGAGGUGUGGGGAAUCUUGUGAGUCUCCGUCGUGCUGGGGAUAGAUGGUUGCAAUUGUCGAUCUUGAACGAGGAAUUCCUAGUAAGCGCGAGUCAUCAGCUCGCGCUGAUUACGUCCCUGCCCUUUGUACACACCGCCCGUCGCUACUACCGAUUGAAUGGUUCAGUGAGAUAAUCGGACAGAAAACUUGGCAACUGGCAACAGUUGACGUGCAUUUUUGGAAGACGAUCAAACUUGGUCAUUUAGAGGAAGUAAAAGUCGUAACA
rnacentral:rRNA from 1 species